rnacentral:rRNA from 1 species
AGUGAACGCUGGCGGUAGGCCUAACACAUGCAAGUCGAACGGCAGCACAGUAAGAGCUUGCUCUUACGGGUGGCGAGUGGCGGACGGGUGAGGAAUACAUCGGAAUCUACUUUUUCGUGGGGGAUAACGUAGGGAAACUUACGCUAAUACCGCAUACGACCUACGUGUGAAAGCAGGGGAUCUUCGGACCUUGCGCGAUUGAAUGAGCCGAUGUCGGAUUAGCUAGUUGGCGGGGUAAAGGCCCACCAAGGCGACGAUCCGUAGCUGGUCUGAGAGGAUGUUCAGGCACACUGGAACUGAGACACGGUCCAGACUCCUACGGGAGGCAGCAGUGGGGAAUAUUGGACAAUGGGCGCAAGCCUGAUCCAGCCAUACCGCGUGGGUGAAGAAGGCCUUCGGGUUGUAAAGCCCUUUUGUUGGGAAAGAAAAGCAGCAGGUUAAUACCCCGCUGUUCUGACGGUACCCAAAGAAUAAGCACCGGCUAACUUCGUG